CAGUGUGUAUUACAGUGUGUGUGUAGUACAGUGUGUAUUACAGUGUGUGUGUAGUACAGUGUGUAUAGUACAGUGUGUAUUACAGUGUGUGUGUAGUACAGUGUGUAUAGUACAGUGUGUAUAGUACAGUGUGUAUUACAGUGUGUGUAUUACAGUGUGUGUAGUACAGUGUGUAUAGUACAGUGUGUAUUACAGUGUGUGUAGUACAGUGUGUAUAGUACAGUGUGUAUUACAGUGUGUGUAUUCAGUGUGUAUUACAGUGUGUGUAGUACAGUGUGUAUUACAGUGUGUGUGUAUAGUACAGUGUGUGUGUGUGUGUAGUACAGCGUGUGUGUAUUACAGUGUGUGUAUUACAGUGUGUGUUAUACAGCGUGUGUGUAUUACAGUGUGUGUAUUUCAGUUACAGUGUGUGUGUGUGUAGUACAGCGUGUGUGUAUUACAGUGUGUGUAUUACAGUGUGUGUAUUACAGUGUGUGUAUUACAGUGUGUGUAUUACAGUGUGUGUUGUACUGUGUGUGUGUAUUACAGUGUGUGUAGUACAGUGUGUGUGUGUAGUACAGUGUGUGUG
ensembl:lncRNA